rnacentral:rRNA from 1 species
CCAACAGAUGCGCUCUUACUUCAAACCUUUCUAGGAGUAGAAUAGGUCGGUCGAUGAUGCGCUUCGGACACGCGGAACGAAGAUCUCACCUCGGCUGCCAGGCAGCCUUUACUUUCAUUGCGCCUUUGGGUUUCGGUCACCCCAAGACUUGCGCACAUGUUAGACUCCUUGGUCCGUGUUUCAAGACGGGUCAGAUGAAGCCAUAUGGCCGCCAACAACCUAGGUGCAUAGUGUGCGCGAUCCUCCCGAAUGACCAACAGCAGUUCAGACGCACUGCAAGCAGUCCGCCAUGCUCGACAAUCGAUCAAGAGAAGGACGCCAGCCCCCUAGAGAGCAUGCACCGUUCGCCUCUGCCAAACUCGAACUGGGAAUGCCACGGGCUAUAACAACGCAAGUCCGAAGACACACGCCUACCUUCCCGAGCACCGUAUCGCUCAAGUCAAGCAGCUGUUGACGCGCUUCGACGAGAAGUGCGACGAGCACAAGACCAAGCCAAGCAGCGACAGUCCAUUCGGAUCCACACACUGCCCGUCCAGCCAGGUGACCGCCUGAAUCUCGCCGAAGCAUUGCUAACUGCAUCCGUUUCCCCACUAACGGUUUCACGCACUUUUUAACUCUCUUUAUCAAAGUUCUUUUC